rnacentral:rRNA from 1 species
GACGAACGCUGGCGGCGUGCUUAACACAUGCAAGUCGAACGGAAAGGCCCUGCUUUUGUGGGGUGCUCGAGUGGCGAACGGGUGAGUAACACGUGAGUAACCUGCCCUCGACUUUGGGAUAACUUCAGGAAACUGGGGCUAAUACCGGAUAGGUGCCCCUGCUGCAUGGUGGGGGUUGGAAAGUUUCGGCGGUUGGGGAUGGACUCGCGGCUUAUCAGCUUGUUGGUGGGGUAGUGGCUUACCAAGGCUUUGACGGGUAGCCGGCCUGAGAGGGUGACCGGCCACAUUGGGACUGAGAUACGGCCCAGACUCCUACGGGAGGCAGCAGUGGGGAAUAUUGCACAAUGGGCGGAAGCCUGAUGCAGCAACGCCGCGUGCGGGAUGACGGCCUUCGGGUUGUAAACCGCUUUCGCCUGUGACGAAGCGUGAGUGACGGUAAUGGGUAAAGAAGCACCGGCUAACUACGUG